AAAAAAACAAAAAAACCUUUUAAAUCCUCUCUCAUCAAACACCUCUUCGCUCCAAUGGAUGCUACAUCAUCAUUAAACAAAUAUUCCUAUCCCUCAACCCUUAAUAUAGGAAACUUUGUUUCUAUUAAGUUAACAUAGAACAACUAUUUAUUAUGAAAAACUUAAAUGCUCUAUCUCAUUGAGAGUUAGGAACUUUUUGGAUUCAUUAAUAAUGAUUGCCCUACACCAAGUCAAAAGAUUCCUCUCCCCAUGGUAAAAGUGAAAAAUGUUUUAUCCUUGUUGUUGGUCUUAAGACUUUUGCAAAAUUUUGAAAAUGCAUGAAGAAUGCCUUUGUAGGUAAUUCUCAAACUAGGGAGUUUCAACUUACCUAGCCACUCCAACUCUGUAAAAAUAACAUUCGACCCUAUCGUAAUACAUAUGCAAAUUCAAUAGUAUUUGUGAUAAUUUAACUGUUAUUGGCAAACUUGUACUAGAUGAAAAUAAGGUAUUUCGGCUUCUUAAUGGACUUGGUCCAAACUAUAAGAGUUCUGCUACCAAUAUGCUAGGGCCCCGAUUCAUUCCUUAUGAAAUUAUACCACUUCUUCAAAACCACGAGAUUAGAAAUAAGUUUCAUGUCUCUGAAGAAUGCUUAUAUCCAAAUCAUAAUAUGACUUUUGCUGGACAACAGAGAAAUUUUGGACCUAACAGAGGUACUAGAAAUUAUAGAGGUAGAGGCAUAUAUAACUUUGGUUGUCAACACUAUUUCAAUUCUCUUGGGCACGGAUUUGCUCAAACAUGCAAGAACAAUAAUGGAGGACGUGGUAUGCCUUAGAGAAACCAAGAAAGUGGUGGUACACCUAUACAACAUUUGGAUCAAAGGUUCCAUUAAGAUUCACAAAUGCAGCGAUCAGCUCAGACACCCAAACAAAAUGUCAAAUUUGUAAAAAAAUUUGGACAUACUACAUUAAAGUGUUGGCAACGAUUCAAUCAUAUGUAUACAAAAAAGAUAUUUCUCAAGCUCUCGCUGAAGUAACUACAUCAAAUUCCCUAGACUCAGAAUAGUUCCCAAACACUGGUACCUCAACUCAUAUGACAGGAGACCCAGGUAAUAAAAUCUUUACUCUUAUAGUGGUAAAGAUAUAUUUAUAGUUGGUAAUAGUGAGCAAUUGACUAUUUCAUAUGUUGGUAAUACAAAUAUUAAUGUUGGGUCUAAAAAAUUUAAUGUUUCUAAUGUUCUUUUGGUAUUGAAGAUGAAAAAUAGUUUACUAUCGGUUAGCCAGUUUACAAAAGAUUUUCUUUGUAUUUUUUAGUUAUCAUCAAAUGGUUUUUGGAUUUAAGGAAAUGAGCACCAGGAGAACUCUGCCUAGUGGGAGUAGAAAAGGCAGACUUUAUGUAAUUGAGGAUGUAAAUAAAGCUUUAUUCUCUAAUCGAAAUAAGAGAACAUCAGAAGAUAUGUGGCAUCAACGACUCGCACAUCUUCAAAAUAAAACAAUUUGUUACUUAGAAUCUAAACAGUUGAUUGAUGUUAAUAUAUAGAAUACAUCUCAUUCUAUUUAUGCUAGUUGUCAGAUGGGAAAAAGUUGUAAACUCCCAUUUAUUAGUAUUGAUGAGACCUCUACAAAAUCUAUUUUUAAGAUUUAUUCAGAUUUAUAGGGGCCUUCUCCAGUUUUAUCUAAUCAGAGUUAUCACUUUUAUGUAGUGUUUGUGGAUGAUUACACUCGUUUUUCUUUGAUUUAUCUUUUGAAAAGAAAAUCUGAAUUUUUUUUUGCAUUUAUGAAAUUUCAUCGUAUGGAUGAAAGGAGAUUUGAUAAAUGAAUUCGAAUUUUUCAAUGUGAUGGAGGUGGUGAAUUUUCUAAGAAAGAAUUCAUUGCUCAUCUUACUGAGAAUGAAAUUGUGUAAUGAAUAUCAUGUUCAGGAACCCCUGAACAAAAUGGAAUUUUUAAAAGGAAACAUGAAAAUAUUGUAAAAUUAGGUAUUACAAUGAUGUUUCAUGCAGGAAUUGAAGCUUUCCAUGCUACGGUCUUUGUAAUAAACUUGAUUCCCUCGGCCAAUAUGCAAAUAGAUUCACCAUAUUCUUUGUUGUUUUGGCUACCUACCAGACUAUUCUUCACACUGGAUUUUGGUUAUUGGUGUUUUCCGUACCUUCGAGACUAUGCUGCAGAUAAAUUCUAUUCUCAUUAUUUUCUGUGUAUUUUUAGGUUAUAGUAUUCAACAUAAAGGUUACAAAUGUCUGCAUCCACCUAUAGGACGAGUCUAUAUCUCUAGACAUGUUAUAUUUAAUGAAAAUAUCUUUCCUUAUACUAACCUCAAUUCUUUGUUUGAUAGUGCUCAGGUUCAAGGGGGAGCUGUCCACCUAUGCAUAAUGGUCAGAGUGUUCACUCCUUCCUCUUGUGAUUCAUCACCUUCACAUAAACCACCUAUAUGGGACACUCUUUAUGUAUCUAGUCCCUCAGGUCUUGCUUUGAUCAUCACCAAUGAUAGCUCUCCAACUUCUCUCAUAGAAGAAGAUGUCACCACGAAACACCAAUCCAAGAUAUCCAAGAUGAUGCAACACACAAUCAUGGUGAUGAAAAUGUUAUCACUCAAGAAACCGACCAAUCUAAUUUUUUACCUGCCUCUGAGUAUUCUUGUCAUCACAUGGUCAUAAGAUCUCAAGAUGGCACUUAAAGAUCUUGGAUUUUCCCAUCCGUUGUAGUAAUGUCAAGUGCUCUUACUUUUAAAGCUCUCUUUUGAACCUAAAACCAUUAAGUCAGCAUUGGGUCAUCCACAUUGACAUCGUGCAAUGGAAGAGGAAAGUGAAGCCAUAUAUGUUAACUCAACUUGGGUGCUAGUUCCACAUCUUUUAUGUAUGAAUAUUGUUGGUUAUCGUUGGGUUUAUAAGACUAAAUUAAUGUCUAACCGUAGUUUAGAGAAAAUUAAAGCUAGACUAGUUGCUAAAUGAUACAAUUAGGUUGCUAAAAUUGAUUUCUUUGAAACAUUCUGGCCUAUUAUUAAGCCUGAUAGUAAUCGAAUUGUGCUCACCAUAGCUAUUGUGCGUUACUGGCUUAUUAAACAACUGGAUGUGAAAAAUGCUUUCCUAUAUAAAAGGAACCUGUAUUUAUGGAACACCCUCAAGGAUUUAUGAGCUCAAAAUAUCUAAAUUAUGUCUACAAAUUAAAAAUAGCUUUAUAUGGUCUCAAACAAGCACCACGGGCUUGGUUUUAACAAUUUAGUACCUAUUAAUUAUCAUUGGGGUUUUAUUGCAACAUAGUUGAUUUAUCUCUAUUUGUUUCUCGCGCUACUCAAGACACUAUUAUCCUUCUCCUUUAUGUUGAUGAUACUAUUGUUACUGGUGAUAAUUCAGAUAUUUUAGAAUGGUUCAUUUUCUAACUUGGAAGGGAAUUUGUAAUUAAAGAUCUUGGACAUCUCCACUACUUUCUUGGCAUGAAGGUAUCUUAUUUUUCAGAUGGAAUUUUUUUAUCGUAAAGCAAAUACGCUCGGGAUCUUCUUGAUCAUGCUUAAAUGCUCGGUGCCAUACCUAUUUCAAUACUAAUGACAAUGAAAAAUAAUAUUCAUGAGACUUAUAAUCCAUUUCCUGAUCCAUCCCUUUAUCAGAGCAUUGUUAGUGCACUCCAAUAUAUUACUAUAACACGACCUGACCUUUCCCAUAUUGUUAAUACAACGUGUCAAUUUAUACAUGUCCCUACAAUUGCACAUUUUCAGGCAGUGAAGCGGAUUCUUCGUUAUCUCAGUGGUACAUAGUUCUGUGGUAUAAGAAUCUUAUGUGAUAGUUCCCUUGAGUUAUAUACUUGCUUUGAUGCAGAUUGGGUCGGGUGUCCAAACACUCGUCAUUCAACCAAUAGUUUCUACACUUAUCUUGGUUCCAACUGCAUAUUUUGGAGUGCUAAGAAACAAUCAAAUGUGGCUUGUUCAAGCAUUGAAGUAGAAUAGCGAUCUAUGACAUCCACUGCUACAGAGACUUGACUUUCUUUUAUUCUUCGAGAUAUUGAAGCGCCUCUUCCUCAACCACCAAGUGUUUAAAAAAAUGGAUCGGCGACACGAAUCAGUCACACCCAUACCUAUGUCGGAACGGUGGAUUAGUGAAUCAGAUUGGAGAAUUGGCCAAAUUGGCAAGUUUUGUCCCAAUUGUUUUUCAAAAAAUCACUAUAAAUCUCUAAAAAUAGUGUUCUUUUAGUUUUUAAAAAAAAUUAUGAGUGGCAAGAGGAUGCCUAAUGUGCAAUCUCAUUCCCUUUCUUUAUAAAAGUCUGCUAAUUUUGAAGGCAUUCUUAAAUAAAAGUAGGUCGUUUGGUUGUUUAUUGAUGUCCUGCGCAGCUAUAAUCAUUCGUGGAAAAUUUCAGAUAAUGAUAUUUAUUCAUUUCAGAUAACUUCAAUAAUGAUAAUAAUGAAUGAACACUAAUGCCAACAAGACCACAGCUUAAAUAUAAAUGGAAAAACACCAUGGCAAGGUUAUUGAUGACAAAAUCAGCCUAAAUGGUUAUUUAAAUCUAUUUCUUUCUCUUAAAGGAACAUAUAUUAUUAUCACAUGAAAGUAAAAAGUUAUUAAUGCGAUUAAUUUUUACCAAGUUACUCAACAGAGUGAAAACAAACCAUCAAUUCUAUGAAAUUUCUAGUCUAAGAAUGAAAAAUAAAAAAAAGACAACCCAAAUUCAAAUAAUUGUAAAAUGCAAACAAGCCCCAGAAUCCUGGUACAAUAAGGAGCGCGAAAUGCAAAAUGAAAAAAAAAAACUAUUACUUAUAUUUGUUUGUAGAAAUUGAGUUAAUCUUAAAUUAGCAAAGUGCACGUGCUCCACAUUGAAACUUAAUUUACAUUAGCUAACUCUAUAACUGUAGGUUUUUCUCCCUCAACAUCCUAAACAUGGCAUUUAAUUGAAUCCUUUAGCUUUAACCAUGCAUCUUCUCUCUCUAUAACUACAUCUAUUUUUUCCAAUUGCAAUAUCAUUCUUUCGUUUUUCUCUAUAAACAUGUCUUUUCUAUCGCGAACCAUGCUCUAUGUUCUUCUUCAAAGUAAAUUAAUAUAAUUUAAACAUCCAUUUCUAUGCAUAAAAUAAUUCCAGGUCAUUUAAAGUAACUGGUGACCAUCGUAUAUCCAUGAGUUGUCACCCAAUAGUAUAUAAAUAACCUAAUUGCUACUAAUUUUAUAAUAAUAUGGUUUUAUAUUAAUUUUAAGCAAACUACUGCUUAGAUUAGUGUAAGAUUUUAUGGGGGCACUAUAUUGUGCUAUUCGCUAAAUUUGCAUCAAAUUUAUUUUAAAAAAUUAUUAAUCCUAAGUAAACUACUGCUGAGAGUAUUUGCAAUAUAUCUUUUUUGCGGUGGCACUAUGUUAUGCUGCCCACUUAACUGGUGUGAGAAUUAAUUCAAAGAAGCUAUCAUGAUUGUAGAAUUUAUUUAAACUUGAUAUAUUAAUUCAUUGUAAAGUUUAAAGGGGCAUAUGCGUUGGAUUAUUGAGAAAUUGAAAAAUGAAAGUUCUUUAUUUUGAUUUUGCUACAAUAUAUUGUAUGUUUGUUUUUAAUUUAUCUUAGAGCAGUAGACGUUAAAAUAUUGAUUUGUCCUCCACUGCCAAAUCUCAUUUCUAUCUCUAGAUCUCUCUCGCCGACUUUCCUUUUUUCACACUAUUCCACAGCCUCCUACCGCCUCUCCACCAAAACACGUAUUAGAAGACUAAUCAAUAGUGGUUAGAACCUUGUAGACCAUCAAGAGAAGAUUCUCGAGAAAUGUAUAGUGGUUUAUAGGCGAUUAAAAGCCUAUAUAAAGGCCAAUGGUUUAAAAAAUGGAUCGGUGUCCCAGAUCGGGUACCCCAAAAACCCAUCCGAAUCGAUGAAUCGAUGUUUCGGAUAAGCGAAAUCAUCAAUUUUUGUCCCAAAAAAUCUUUAAAAAAUCACUAUAAAUCUCUAAAAAUAUUGUUAUUUUAAUUUCUAAAAGAAUUUAGGAGUGGUGCAUUAUGUAUUUUCAUUACUUUUUAAAAAUAGGUGAAUACUGAGACGAUGUUUUUCUAUCUGGAUAUCUGUAUAAUUAAAAUAAAUAAAUUAACAAAAAAAUAUAAGACUUGGUUAUCAUUGUAAUUAGUAUAAUUAUUAAUUACAAUAUUAUAAUAAACGUGAUUAAAAAAUAAGCUUACAAAUAAAUAAUCUAAUAUAUCAUAAUUAGUGUAGAUAGAAAUAUAGAAUUUAGAAAUCUAUAUUUACAAUCAUAUUUUAAUAAAAUUAAAAAAAGAAAAAAUAAAUUCAUACUUGCAAUGUAAGGUAAUUGAUAAAGCAACUUAAAAAUAAAUUCUUCAGUAGUAUAAGUUAGUGUUAUUUUUCUCUUCUAAAAUAUCCCGUAAACUAAUAUUUUAAUAUUCAUAUUUUUUGCUUUUCUUAAUAUAUUAUGAGCUAGUACUAUUUUUUUUAAUCUUAAUUAGCUAAUAGCCUAAUAAUAAUCAAAUUAUGAAAUAAUCCCAUGAGAUAAUAGUGUAAUAGUUUCAGUCUCGUUAUUUUGGUUUAUGGGUAAGUAAAUUUUAAUUUUUUUUGGUGAAAGAUGGGGGUAGUUGGCCCUGUCUUCUAAUUAUUAUUUUUAAUAAUUUUCUUUCUUUUUUUAUCAUGUAAUUUAAUGUUGAGCGCACACCAUUUGUAUUGAUGGUCCACCCAUCCCCUAAUAGUAUUAAAUUAUUAAUCUAUACAUUAAUACAACAACGUUGGGUUGGGCAACAAGAAUUGUCCCACAUCGAAGAGAUGUGGAACGAAAAAGGCAUAUAAAAGGAGCUGAAACUUGAAACAAUUGAAAAGGCAAUUAGCUAUUUGGGAGUAGGGCCACCUACAAGGUCUAACCUAGCCCCACAUGAUGGUUUCUCCCACGUAAGGAAAUAAGGGGUACUUUCAUGAAAUUUCUUAAUAAGAAAAAUGAUACGGAUGUGUCCUACUCAUCAUGUUAAUUUAAAGGGUGAGCUGAGCACCCAACGGUUUGUGAGAUUACGUGGUGUCAUCAUGGUGAUGUAAAUGAUUAUCUGCUGACUUUGUGACAUUACGUGAUGUAAAUGAUGAUUUGCUGACGACGACUGACGUCAGCAUGGCAAUUUAAAAGUUAACCGGCUAAACCGAUUAAGAAUCAGUCGAAUCCCCUUUAAAUCUGCAUUUUUUCCUUUAAAGGAUGAUCUGCUGAUGACUACUGAUGUCAGCAUGGCGAUAUUUAAAAGUUAACCGGCUGAACCGACUAAUAAUCAGUCGAAUCCCAUUUUUUCUUUAGAUCCGGGGCGGCCUGAGUUAUCCCGAUCUGGAUCGCUCGAUUCCGGAUUAGAUCGAUGAUUUUUCAAACACUGAUAAAGACAAUGAUAUGCCUGGGUAUUAUGAAUGAGAGAGAAAUAAUGAAUGCAGAACCUCAAAAAUGAGUGUAUGCAGAACCUCAAAAAUGAGUGUAUGGUCCUAAAGACCAUAUCAUUUGAUUGUAUUUUUGUUUUAUUUAUUAUUUUGAAUGCAAUAGUAGAAAUUUUGUUUAUUCAGUACGACUUCCUAUUUGUUCUUUUGUGUCGAAGUAUUUUUAUUCUAUAUUUUGGAACUUUUGCUUCAACAAAUUUCUAUCAAACUGGUAUCAGAGCCAAAGUUCGUAAAGCAUGGCACCCUCAAGUAUGAUGUUGCAACUUCAAGUUCCUCAUCUUACAAAAGAAAAUUAUGAAAAUCGGUGCAUUCUGAUGAAAGCAUUGUUCAGAUCACAUGAUGCAUGGGAGGUUGUUGAAAACGGGUACCAUGAACCCCAAACCCUAGAAGAGGAACCUAAAAUGACAAACAAUCAAAAGACUGCUCUAAAAGAAUCGAGGAGACAGAACUAAUUUUUUAUUCCUUCUCAAGGGUAUUGGCCGUAACAAACCAACUCAAGAGAAAUGGUGAGGUGCUAGACGAUGUAUGUCUCAUGGAAAAAAUAUUAAGAUCUAUUACCCAUAAAUUUGAGCACAUAGUUGUAGCAAUAGAAGAAAGUAAAGAUUUGUCGACUAUGACUACCGAUUAACUCGUGGGUUCCUUGUCAGCCCAUAAACAAAGAAUGAUGAAGAAAACAAACACUCCUUUGGAGCAAGUGCUCAAAACUAAUCUCUCCUUAAAGAUGAAAGAGAAGGAUUUAAAGGUAGAGGUCAAAGAGGAUGUGGGACAUUUAAUAGAGGUGGACGAGGUUACGACAAUUCCAAUACCAGUGCCAGAAGAGGACGCAACCAAAUGUUGCAACCCCCAAGAGGUCGAGGUGGUAGAAACUUUACUCGACCAUUCAAUCGUCAAAGGUAUGAUAGACCUUCGAUUCCAUGCUUUAAUUGCAAAAAGUUUGUCCAUUAUAGUUCUGAGUGCAAAUUUAAGAACUCCCAUGAAAAUGGAGAACAAGUAAAUUUUGUAGAAAAAUCCAAAGAAAAUCAAGAACCAACCCUCUUGUUGGCGUGCAAAGAAGAAGAAAGUGAAAACAAUAACUUGUGGUUUCUUGACAGUAGGGCACACAACCACAUAUGUCGAAGAAAAGAUGUAUUCAUGGAGUUGGAUGAAUCAGUGAAUGGUAACAUAACAUUUGGUGAUUUCUCAAAAGUUCUGAUCAAAAGGAAAGGUAAAAUUUUAAUUCGACUCAAGAAUGGAAAACAUGAGUUUAUUUCCAAUGUCUAUGAUGUGCCAAGCAUGAAAAAUAAUAUUCUUAGUUUGGGGCCGCUUUUGGAAAAAGGUUAUGAUAUUCGUCUGAAGGAUUUAGCCCUCACCAUAAAAGAUAGAAAGAAAAACUUGAUUGCUAGAGUUGGCACGCCAAAAAACAUGACAUUUUCUUUGGAUAUCAAAACUGAUCUUUUGCACUAUCUAAAUGUAUCUUUAAAGGAAAAGCCAUGGUUAUGGCACUUGAGGCUUGGACACCUCAAUUUUAAUGGAUUGAAAUUAUUGCAUAACCAAAACAUGGCAAAAGGGCUGCCACCAAUCAAUCAUCCGGAACAACUUCGUGAAGGAUAUAUGCUUGGGAAGCAUCACUGUGAAAGCUUCCCAAGUGGUGUUUUACAUAGAAGCAUCAAAACCCCUUGAACUCAUCCAUACAGAUGUAUAUGGGCCACUUAGCCCAAUUUCUUAUGGGCAACAUAUGUAUUUUCUUACCUUCAUUGAUGAUUUUAGUCAGAAGACCUGAGUUUCUUUCCUGAAAGAAAAAUCAGAAGUUUUGGGAUUUUCAAAAAUUUCAAGGCAUUUAUGGAAAAACAAAGUGGUUAUUUUAUUAAAGUUUUGAGAUCAAAUAGGGGUGGUGAGUUCUUUUCAAAGGCAUUUCAUGAGUUUUGCAAAUAUCAUGAUAUUCUUCAUCAAUUUACAGUACCAUAUACACCCCAACAAAAUGGAAUGACUCAAAGGAAAAGCCAGACAAUUUUGGAAAUGGCACGAAGCAUGUUGAAAUGCAAAAAUAUGCCAAAAGAACUUUGGGCUGAGGCAGUAUCUUUUGCUGUCUAUAUUUUGAAUAGGUGUCCCACCAAAAGUGAGUGAUUUAGGACACCCCAAGAGGCUUGGAAUGGACAUAAGCCUAAUGUGGUACAUUUAAGAGUAAUGGGUGCAUUGCAUACUCUCAUGUCCCAAAUCAAAUUAGAGCUAAAUUAGAGGACAAAAGUCAAAAGUGUCCUUCUAUUGGCUAUGAUGAAAAAUCAAAAGCUUACAAGCUUUAUGAUCCUGAAAAUAAGAAGUUGAUAAUUAGUAGAGAUGUGGAAUUUAAUGAAGAAGCCUCACGGGAAUGAAACAAAAAAGAAGAGAAAAGUCACGUAAGAAUUGAAUUGAAUGGAAAUAACAAUGUUCAAGAGCGAUCCCAAGAAGAAAAUGCCACACCCUCAUCUCCUCAACAAGAGUCAAGCUCAUCUAUUCUUUCUAUGGAUGAAAGUUCAAAUGAAAGGCUACCAAGGAUAUGGAGUUUGAAUAAAAUUUAUGCUAAAACAUAAAAUACUAACAAUGAGCACAAUUUAUUUUAUUUCUUUGUUGAGUGUGAAUCUGUAAGUUUCGACUUUGCAGUUCGUGAAAAAAGGUGGAGAAUAGCAAUGGAUGAGGAGAUUCAAGCUAAUGAGAAGAAUGAUAUAGGGAAGUUUACAACACUUCAAUGGAUGAGGAGAUUCAAGCUAUUGAGAAGAAUGGCACAUGAGAGUUCACAACACUUUCGAAUUAGCAUAAAGCAAUUGGUAUGAAAUGGGGUUUAUAAAGGAAAGAAGAAUGAGAAAGAUAAAGUAAAAAGAUAUAAAGCAAGACCAGUUGCCAAAUGAUACAUGCAAAAAGAGCCAGAAUUAACUACAAAGAGCUAUUUGCUCAUGUUCUUAGAUUGGAAACUAUUAGAUUAAUUAUUGCUCUGGCUGCUUAAAGAAAAUGGAAUUUUUUUCAAAUGGAUAUCAAAUAUGCAUUUUUAAAUGGUCAUCUUAAAGAAGAAGUUUAUAUUGAGCAACCACCGGGUUAUAUUAUAAAGGGGCAUCAAGAUCAAGUUUAUAAAUUGAAAAAGAAACUUUAUGGAUUGAAACAAGCUCCUAGAGCUUGGAAUACAAGAAUCGACAAAUAUUUUCAUGAAAAUGGUUUUUAUAAGUGCCCCUUUGAUUAUGCUCUAUAUCUUAAAAUGAAUGACAAUGGUGAUCCAUUGAUAGUUUGUUUAUAUCUUGAUGAUUUAAUUAUCACCGGUUAUAACCUUAGCAUGAUUGAUGAUUUUAAGCAAUCCAUUAUUACUGAAUUCUAGAUGAUUGAUAUUGGGCUUAUGAAUUACUUUCUUGGAAUUCAAGUUAAACAAUGUGACGAAGGGAUUUUUAUUUGCUAAAAUAGAUAUGCAAAGGAAAUUCUCAAAAAUUUUAAAAUGAAAAAUUACAAUUCGCUAACUACCCCAGUAGAAUGCAAGUUGAAUAGAAGAUAUGAUGAUUCCAGAGAGGAUGCCACUUAUCUUAAAAGCUUGGUUGGAAGUUUGCAUUAUCUACCUUGUACGCGACCCGAUAGUUUAUAUGGAGUGGACUUAACAAGUCGGUAUGUGGAAGAUCCUAAUAAAACACACUUGAAGGCAGCCAAAAUGAUUCUUCGCUAUCUAAAAGGCACACUGGAUUAUGGACUGUUCUAUUCUCAUUCAAAUGAAAUCAAGAUUGUUGGUUAUUAUGAUAGUGACUGGGGAGGUGACCUAUAUGAUAAAAAAAGUACUACAGGUUAUGUAUUUCAUAUUGGAUCUAUAGCUUUUACUUUGUGUUCAACCAAUUGUUGCAUUAUCCACAUGUGAAGCUGAAUAUGUUGCAGCAUCUUCAUGAGUAUGUCAUGCUAUUUGGCUACGAAAUGUGCUAAAAAAUUUACAGAUACCACAAGAAAGCCCUACAACGAUCAAAGUCGACAACAAAUCAGCAAUAGCACUAGCCAAGAAUCCAAUAUUUUAUGGGAGGAGCAAAAACAUAGAUAUAAUAUUUUAUUCCAUUCGAGAAUAUGUGAAGAAUAAUGAAGUUGAGCUAGUGUUUUGCAGAUCAGAAGAACUAUUAGCAGACAUUUUGACAAAGGCACUAAAGACUUAAACAUUUUGUCACCUAAGAAUACUACUUGGAAUGAGAGUGUGUGACAAAUUAAGGGGGAUGUUAAAAUAUUAAUUUGUCCUCCACCGCCAAAUCCCAUUUCUAUAUCAAGAUAUCUCUCAUUGACUUUUCUUGUUCCACACUAUUUCGCAGUCUCCAACCGCAUCUCCACCAAAACACGUAUUAGAAUACUAGUCAAUAGCGGUUAGAACCUUGUGGACCAUCAAGAGAAGAUUCUCAAGAAAUGUAUGCGGUUAUUAUAGGCGGUUAAAAGCCUAUAUAAAAGCAAUGAUAUGCAUGGGUAUUAUGAAUGAGAGAGAAAUAAGGGAUCACAGAAGCGAUAUGCAAAAAAGGUAUGCAAAACCUCAAAAAUGAGUGUAUAGUCCUAAAGACCAUAUUAUUUGAUUAUAUUUCUGUUUUGUUUACUAUUUUGAAUGUUAUUGUGGAAAUUUUGUUUAUUCAGUACAACUUCCUAUUUGUUCUUUUGUGUCGAAGCAUUUUUACUCUAUAUUUUGGAACUUUUGUCGCAACAAAUUUCUAUCGAUGCAAUGUGUUAUUUUUGUAUUGGCACUAUGCUGUGCUACCUGCUCAAGGUGUGCCAAAUUUAUUUUAAAGAAGUUGAUAUGAAUGUAGAAUUCAUCUAAACUAGAUAUAAUAUUUUAUUAUACAGUUUAAAGGGGCAUGUCUAUUACACACAAGGCUUUAGGCUUUAAUUGCACAAAAGAUGAAAAACUAAAGAUUUUUAUCUUGGUAUUACUAGAUUAUAAUGUAGGUUUGUUUGUAAUUAAUGUUUUAUUUUGAAAGUCAAACAAAUUUAUUUAUUAACUUUUUAAGAGAUUGUUCUAAUUAUAAGUUAUAACUAUAAAUAAUUUAGUAUAUAUAUAUAUAUAUAUAUAUAUAUAUAUAUAUAUAACAACUGUGAGAAACUGUAUUUCUGAAGGCCCGAAUAGAAGGUCCAAACUGAUGAGAGAGAAGUACCGCAAGAAGAACGAAAUACAACCUGGCGUCUCAGGUUUGAGUUGGUAUGAGGGAGAGAAGGGAGGGAGGAAAUGAAGAAGGAAAUAUUGUUCCCAAAGGUAAGUGUAAGUUUCUAUAUUUUCACGACUUACAACAAAAUAAAUUUAAAUUGACUAUACAUUCAAUAUUUUCCUUUAUCAGAGUUAGACUCAUCCAAAAAAUCUCAUUUAUCGUAAGAACUGGAUCACCAACUUGAUUUGGACACUCAUCAAAGAUUGGCGGUGACUUCUCAAAUGAGUUUUUAAACCCUCUAAUCGGAAUAGAGAAUCGGUGAUCAUGAUUAGUAAGAGGCCAGGAUCAAACCAGGUUCAAGAAAGUAUCGGUACUGGUUUUGCCCCUCUGCCUAAACCUUCCCUUCAUGCCUUUUGUUUUUUUAUUAAUUUUAUGUGAAAUACUACUUAGAGCAAUACAAUGUAUGUCAUUUUAUAGUGCUACUAUGUUGUACUACCCACUCAACUUGAUUGAAAUUAUUUUAAAGAAGUUAACAUGAAUGUAAAAUUUAUUUAAAUAGCAUAUAUUAUUUUACUUAUAAAGUUUGAAGGGGUAUAUGUUUUGAAUUACCUAGAGUCGAAAAAAUAGAAUUCGUUAUUCAGGUACAGUCAUAAUAUAUUAUUGGUUUGUCUUUAUUUAAAGCCCAUACCCAAAUUCUCAUCCCUAUAUCUAUCUCGUACCUUCUCGUUCACUCUCUCACCUUUUCUCUAUCUAAAAAAAGCAAACUCCAACUCUCUCUCAAAACCCAUGCUCUCUUUGCUUCCCCUCAAACCUUUAUUGGCUCUCUCUCUCUAAAUCCAUUCCAGGAGGUAGAAUUAUUUUUUUUACAAAUACUAGUAUACUCUCAAAAGGAUUUAUUAGUGACUUAAAUCUCUCUCGCUCUCGAUAAACAACAUGCAUGUGCGUGCAUACGCACGUAUCCGUCUAUGUAGUUGAAACUUAAUUAAUAAAAAUAUUAGUCAUAUAAAAUCAAAUUAGAUCUCAUUUUACACAAAGAAAAUUCUAUUUUGAUAGGGGAUGAAAAUCAAUAUAGUCAAUUUUAUACAGUUAGUAAGAUGACAAAUAAAGUUGGUGAAAGCUUCGUUGUUAUUGGAAGAUUAUGACUUAUCAUAUAUGGGUUCGAACUUUUAUGUUAAUUAGGGGAUUUAUAGGAAUUCCUUUCACUCUUCAAGCUAUAUCAUAUCAGGUCUUUGUGAUCAAAUCAUUUCACAAAUCAUAUGGUUUUAAGGCAUAAUACUUUUUAUUCUUAAUUUUGGGGCUUACCUCCUAAUUUGAUAACCUAAGGUGAUAAAUAGAUAAUUGAACAUGUGCAUGAUUCUAUUUAUUCCCUUUCAUUAAAAAUAGUUGUAAAUUAAAAUAUAAUUGAUUAAAUCACACUUUAGAUUUGAAUAAAUUGUUUUUUUGUUACUAAAAGUUAUCUUAAAAACUUUAAUAUUAAGUUUAUAGCAUAAAUAAAUUAAAACUUUGAGCUCUAUUUUUUAGUUAAAGUGUAAAUUAUAAUGUUUGUAAAUUUUAAUGUUGCUUACCUUAUAUGUGAAAAUUUGAAUUUUAAAUAAAUUUGAUAAAUUAUUUAUACCUAUUUAUUAAGUUGGGACAAAACUCAGAAGAUAAUGAUGACUAUUUACUCCUAUUAUCUAAAUUAAAAAUUGAGGGAUCUAUUGUAGAAGUAUCAUUUGCUUAUUCUAAAAAUAUAAUAAUGGAUUUUGAGUAAUAAAUUAUAUUUUUAUUAAUAGAAAAUUAUAAAUUCUAAUUUAUAUUGAGUUUUAAGUAAGAUUUUAAAUUUUAAAGUAUAAUACAAACAAUAAAAUGUUUUAAUUUUAUUCUAUCAUGUAAUUUCAUAUUAUUUAAAUAUUUUAAUUAUUGUAUGAAAUUAACGAUAAAAUUAAAAAAAAAUUAAAAUGUCCACUUUAAAUAAAGGAAACCAAAUAUAGGGAUGACUUUGUCUUUUUAAUAAAAGUAUUGGUUAUUUCAUAAAAAAGGAUAAUUUUCUAGUACAUAGGCAUUUAUUGUGCAUUUAGUGUUAAGUACUCUCUUAACAUCAAACUUUUUUUAUGUGAGCUAAAAAAAAAAAAAUUGUAUAGUGCUCCUUAGGAACAAGUUGAAUAUUUGAUCUAUGAAGAAAUAUACCUACUCUAUACUAUUUUAUCUAUCUAAAAUUUAGUUAUCUACAUUUAAAUGAGUACUUUAAAAGGAAAAAGAAUUUAAAUUUAAAUUUUUAGUAGAAUUAGUGGUGAGAGAUCAUAUAUCAAAGGAGCCAUGGGUAGCAAUGGACCCAACCAAACCCAAGACUCAACGGUAGACUCGACCUCGGGUCCAGGUAUGGGUCCAAAUUUUGGAACCAAAUACUAUUCGAGUCUAGCUGGACCUAACCCGUACCCGUUAUCAUAGGGUAUGUGAUGUGAAUCAUGUGUCUUUAGGCACAUGUUAAGUGUUCAUAUUUUCACAAUAUUGGCAGCAUUUACAAUAUUAUUGGCAAAAGAAAGAAGCUCAUAGUCAUUGGAUAUAUGAUUGUAAAAAAAAGGGAAAAAAAAAAAACUCAGUGUCAUAGAGUGGCAGUGGAUCCAACCAGACCAGACACUUGACAAGUAGACCCGGGGCCUGACGGAUCCGAGUAUGGGUUCAAAUUUUGUACUUGAACACUAUUCGGGUCUAAAUCAAGGUCCAGCCAUACCUGACUCGUUGCCAACCCUAAAAGGGACAUAGUAUCAAUUGUAGUAUCUUCCGCCAUUAAAAGUAUUAAGUUUAUUAUUUUGUCUGUGAUUUUGAAAAGAUAGAAGGUAAGGCCAGUUUUCUGUUUCUAUUAACAAAGUAUGAUCCCUAACCAAGGCAUUCAAGCCCACAAUAGGGUUCCUGUUAUGUUAACUUUAAAAAACAUUGACAGUAGAAUAGUCAAGCAUACUUUAAAUUAACCUUCAAUACAUAACAUGUUUUCUUAAAUUUCUUCUUGUGUGUUCUUUGCCUGAAGUUUGUGUCUUCUUUUUGGCGUUUUGGGCAUAUACAUUCCUUAUCAGUAUUGUAUUUGAUUUUGAGAUAUGGCUUUUCACAAGAUUUUCUUAGCAAGUGUUAGUUCUUUUCCAUUUCUUUGACAACUCAACUUGGUUGCACAAUCUUUCUAAAGCAUGAAGAACAUAUUGGUACAAUUCACCAAAACUAGUGUUUUGUAUUGCAAGCCCUUGAUUUUCCAUUGUUUUUGUGGCUUCUUUGCCUAAAGUUGGUGGCACUGAUUCAAGAUAAAACUGUAUUAAAUUGACAUCAUCAAUUCCGCCAAUCUUAUGAUAUCUCUUGUUCAUUUCAGAAAAAUGUUUCUCCAGAUCUUGUCUUUUGAAAGAACAACAUUUUAACUGAAAAAAAUUCUUCUCUUGCAACAAUUUGUUCAUGCUUUAUUGGGCCAGUAAAUUCAAAGACUAUGUAGUUAAGGAACUCGAGUAUAGACUCACUAUUUCUAAAGAUUGAUUUCUCUUGGGUCAGAUAAGUUCUUUAGAAAGGAACUUACAUGAUGGGAUUUUCUGAAGGCAUUGGUAUUUGUAUGGGAAUGGAAGAGGCUACAACAUCAGAAACAAUGACAUUAGACUCUGUGUCAAAAUUUUGAAUCAUUUGUGUUUCAUGCUUAGGUUGUGGAGGCUGUGUAACGGCUGGUGUUGAGGUUGUUUGUGGACUAGGUAUAGGUUGGGAAGAUGAAGCUGGUGUAUUUGGGUUUUGACGUUUUCUUAGCUGAGGAAACAACAAAUGUUCAGAGAAUUGUCUCUCUUGUUCAAAUGUUCUGAGGGGUCUAAAACCAUAAUUCCUAGGAAGAAUUAAACCUGUUGAAGGGUAGAGGGUUAUAGUCGGAGGGAAUGGGUCUGGAUUUCUUAAGGUGGGAUACGUUUGGGUAUUUGGCAUUGGUAAAAAAGGCUGGUAUUGUGUCUUUUACUUGGUUUUGAUGUUCUUCACCAGAUGAAACUUCAAUGGACUUCCAAAGGACUACACUACAAAACCCUGACCUUACCUUGGAUUGCUUCCAUAGAUCAGACACACAGUUUAGAAAUAAUUAGACAAUAAAAUUUGAGAGACUGUUGUGCUAAUUCCCAUACCGAGUUUCUCAAAAAAUGUACAAAUCCUCUUUGGAGAAACCAUAAUUUUUAUGUCAAAUUACCCUUCAAGAAGAAUAAAGAUAUAAAUCCCACAAAAGCUUCACACAGAGGUUUGAAUCCAUAACUAUUAGAACAUGCUAAACUGGAAAUUCAAGAUUUGAUAAAGGAAAAGCUGAUUGAACCUACAAGUUUUCCUUGGGCUUGCGAAGCAUUUUAUGUCAAUAAAAGAGCGGAAUAUCAUCAAUAGAAUAUUAUCGAUAUUUAUUAUAUCUAACUUAAGGUUCGGAGGCUCCCAAGUUGUUAUCAUAUUUCUCAAUUGACUUGUGUUCACGAACCUACUCAUGUUUUAUAUAUAACUAGAUGUUAUAUGUGCCAGAUUGGUCAAUGUCACAACUAUAAAAAACAUGAAGAUGUUAAAAUUGAAAAUAAUUACAAAAGCACAUGUCAUGGGUAGAUGCAACUUAUGCAGCAACUGAUAAACUUGAAUAUGGCCACACAAUUUUUAAAAUUUUGGCACCAUGAAAUUUUGGGAUUGGCAAGAAAUGAACGCAAACAUAUAGUAAAGCACCAUAUAGAAACAAAUUAAAGUCAGAUGGAUGUAAAAAAUUCAAAAUAAAUCAAUGCAAAUCUUACAAAAUAUGUACCAUAAAAUGUCAGUGUCACAAGAACCUUUAACAUAUACCACGUUAGAACUUGAGAUAUAAAAAACAGAGAUAUUAAAAUUAAAAAAAAAAAGAUUGAAUACACAUAUACAUGUUAUGGGUAGGUGCAACUUAUGUAGCAACUCAUAGAUUGAAUACAAUCAUGCAAUUUUCAGAAUUUUGGCAUCACGAAGAUUUGGGAUUGGCAAGAAAUGAGCACAAAUCUCUAGAAAAACAUAUUGUAAAAGCAAAUUAACAUCAGAUAGAUGUCAAAAACUCAAAAUAAAUCAACACAAAUAUUACAUGAUAUGUUCUAGAAAUGUCAGUGUCACAUGAGCCUUUAACAUAGACUAUAUUAUAAAUUGAAUACAAAAAUGCUAAAAUGCAAAAUAAAUUGAAUACAAAAACAAACAGUAUGGAUAAAUGCAGCUUAUGCAACAACUCAUAAAUUUAAUACAUACAAAUUUUAGAUUUUUGGCAUCUCAAAAGUUUGGGAUUGGCAAAAAGUGAAUACAAACCUAUAGAACAACAUAAUGUAAAAACAAAUUAAAGUCAGAUAGAUGUCAAAAACUAAAAAUAAAUCAACAUAAAUCUUACAUGAUAUGUGCCAAAAAUUUCAAUGUCACAUGAACCCUUAACAUAGACUACAUUAUAACUUUAGAUAUAAAAAACAUAUAGAUGUUAAAAUGCAAAAUAAAUUGAAUACAUAAACACAUGUUAUGGAUAAAUACAACUUAUGCAGCUGCUCAUAUAUUGAGAAUACAAUCACACUAUUGUUAUACACCUCAUGCAUAAAAAUAGAUUGAGAAUAUAAUCACACAUGUUAUGAACAAAUUGGGAAUACAAUCACAUAUGUUAUGGAUAAAUGCAUUGAGAAUAUAAUCACACAUGUUAUGGAUAAAUGCAGCUUAUGCGGCAGCUCAUACAUUGGGAAUACAAUCACACAUAUUAUGGAUAAAUGCAGUUUAUACAUUGACAAUACAAUCACACAAUGAGAAUACAAUCACACAUGUUAUGGAUAAAUGCAGCUCAUACAUUGAGAAUACAAUCACAAAUGUUAUGGAUAAAUACAACUUAUGUAGCUGCUCCUACAUUGAGAAUACAACAGUUGCAAUUGUCAAAAAAUUAAUACAAACCUAUGGAAUAACAUACCGUAAAAAAAAUUAAAGUCGGAUAGAUGUCAAAACCUCAAAAUAGAUCAACACAAGAAAUGUCAACGUCACAUGAACCUUUAACAUGGACUACAUUAUAACUUCGGAUAUAAAAAAACAUAAAGAUGUUAAAACGUAACAUAAAUUGAAUAUAAAGACAUGUUAGGGGUAAUUGCAACUUAUGCAACAACUCAUAAAUUGAAUACAAUCACACAAUGUUUAGUUUUUUGGCAAUAUAAAUGUUUGAGAUAGGCAAGAAAUUAACACAAACCUAUAGAAUAACAUACUGUAAAAACAAAUUAAAGUCAAAUAGAUGUCAAAAACUCAAAAUAAAUCAACAUAAACAUACAUCCAUAAUUCCAUACUAAACCCUUAACCAAUUCAUUACUAUAGUCCAAGCAAUCAGAUCCAGGUUGUAGUGAAAAAAAUGUCAUUGUAAACUGUAAAAAUAGGAUACCGGUUUUAAGAACAGGCUAAUAAAACCCAAAUUGUAGGUAAAAAAAUACAUAAAAAAGAGGAAAGACCAACAAAAAAUGGGCAAAAACAACAGAAGAAAAUGCACAACUAAAAACCCCAAUAAAUUAGUCAAUCUCUUCUAUUGAAGAAGAGAGAGAGAGAGAGAGAUAGUACCUUGUUGAGGCAAGUGUUGGCAAGAGGCAGUUGCAGAAGAGAGGCACACGAAUGCAGGAGGGAGAUGCGGCUACAGUUUACAAGGCAAUGAGAAAUCAAAAUGUUUUUUUUUGCUCCUAAAUAGGAAUGCUAGAUCGGCCGAGUUUCGGUGUCCAAAAAUUUUCAAAAAAUAUUAAAAACCCUAAAAAUAUUGGGAAUGGUGCAUUAUGUAAUGUCAUUAUUUCACAAAAAUAUGUGAAUAUUGAGGCGCCACUUCCAGUCUAGAUGUUUGUUGACUAUUACAUUCAUAUUACUAAAAAAAAACUUAUAAUAAUGGUGGGUAUCAAUACAUGGUCGAAAUAUAGUGCAACAGUUGAAAUACAACCUAAUAUCAAAUUGAAGGACAUCAUUCUUCCUCUUCAUACCGUAAAUUGAUCACUUUACAAAAAUAUGCUGCACAUUUUGUGAAUGAUAUCCAGUACACAAUAGACAUUUGAGAGGGGCAAAUGUUGCAUUAUCUUUAAGUAACACAAGGGCUAAUAUUGACCAUAGUGAAGAGCCAUAAAUGUACCUUGAACAACACGAGAGAGAAAGUUAGGAUGGGACAUAUUCAAAGAGAGAGAGAGAGAGAAAAUCCAAUUCAAGAGAGAGUGAAAAAAUAGAAAAAAAAAGAAAAAAACAAUCCAAUAUUCAAGAGAAGGAAUCCAAAAGUGAAUAUGGAAAAAGAAAGCUCACUCUAAAGAGAGAGAAGAAUAAAAGAAAAACUCAAUUCAAUACUCAAGAGAAAGGGAGAGAGAAUUUCACAUACUUAGGAAUUGGGCUUGGGUCAAGGCGGUAGUAGCUGAGUUUCCAUAGUACCACGUCUCAAGUUUCGUUCCUAUAUAACCUUAUCAAAAAAGGAAGAAGAGAAUUUCCCAAACCCAAUCCAUUAUUCAAUUGGAGCUAAGGAAUUUGUUAUAAAUUAACAAGAAACUAAAUCACAAUAGAUUAACCAAGAGAAUUUAAAAUUAUUCCAAACGCUGAUCUUAUUGUUGUCUCUACAAUAAAAAAACAUAGAUCUUUAUAUCUUCCAUUUAAAGGCCCGACAUAAUUGCUUUGCAACGGGAAAGCAUUGCAAGAGAGAAAGGAGAGGGGGAGAGAAAUCCUAUAUGAACCUCGUAUAUCACAAAGAUUUUCGAUAUUAAAACUACAUUUUUCGAUACUAUUUAAUGGUGUGCCUUACUUUGAUUAUUUCGGGCCUCAACCUUAUACAAACCACACCUUUUCCUUAAAAUUUUUUAAAGACCUCAAAUAAUAAAAAAAACUGAAAACCAGGUAAUCACUGGAUCACCUAGUUCAUUGAGAUAGUUUUGUUUGCGAAUUAGCCAGUUUAUGAGGAAAACCAACCAGUUCUUGAGAUUAUUGGGGUUUUGAAUAAGCUCAACUGCUUCCUGAUAUGGAUAGGUUAGCUUUGAUCCGAAUCACUGAUUUUUUAAACAAUGUAUAGAAUAGAUAAGCAUCUAAGAAUUAAAAAUAAAGGUAUUAUAUAUUGUAUAUAUUAAAGAUGGUAACAAGAGUCUUGAGGCAGAUGUCAUGAAUAGGAUGGCAUGUGGGUAUUGCUCUCUUCUCAUAUUAUAGGAUAAUCAUAAACACUUGUAGAUGUAGAUAGUUCAGGAUUGGUAAGACUAGAAGGGUGUGGUUGGCAUACGGAUGUAUCUGUAGCUGUAGAGGUCAGGUGCACCUCCAAAUUUUAUCACGGUAUAUAAUUUUGAUGUAAAAUGUUUUUAGGAUUAUCUAAAAAUCUAUUUUUAUAUCUAAUUAUCAAAUUUUAAAUUUCACAAAUGGUUAAAAUCAAGUAGAUCUAUAAAUAUAUGAAAACCUUGAAAAUGGACAGUGUAGAUAAUAUGUUGUAAAAUACAUUAUUUCUGAUACUUAAAAUCUUUUUAUUUUUCGUGGUCAUACAUCUCAAUGUCGAGAUGAUCAAUCAAAGGGUUUUUCAACAUUAAAACUAUUAUUUCUGAUGGAUUUUUGAGUUGCAUAUGUCGUUCUACAUUAUAAGGUUUGCAUCCUUAUAUAAACUUUUUCCAUAAUAGGAUAGCAUGUGGGUACCACUCUCUUCCCAUAUAUAGGAAAAUCUUUAACACUUGUACCUAAAGAUAGUCUAGUGUUGGUAAUAAUAUGGAAAUCAUUGGAUUGUCAUUCACACUUGUAAUCAUAGACUAUCUAGGGUCGGUAUGACAUGAUCCAUUUGAUCAUCAUAACCUUAUGACUAAGCAUCUAGAAUUAUAGCCAUUGUAGGAAUGAACUCUCGACAUAGGUAGUCAGGAUAGUGGGUGCCACAAUAUGAAGUCUUAAGUUCCAUUACAAUCAUGGAUACGGCCUGCGGCAGAUGGCUACAGCCAGCUAGACAAUUUGCUAAAAAACAGAUGGAAGAGUAUGUCGGGCAAAGAAAGGUGUUCCGUGGUCCGAACUCAUUUAUCCCAUAAUCAAUAUGCGAUUUUAAAGAGCUUUAAGGCCCAUUGAUCACGUUUUCGAUUAACAUGUCGCAAACACUCAGUCAUAUAUAUAUAAUCUAGGGCUUGUAUAAUAUGAUCCAUAUGGUUAUCAUAACCUCAUCACCGCAAGGUUGUCACAAUCCCCUCGUGAGGUUAUCACUGUCCAUUGUUUUGGAUUGAUGGAGAUAAGGGGUUACCACUUACAAUUCACUUCUGACAUAUUGAUUUUUUUUUGGGUAAGUACUUCUUGACCCAUUGAUUGAAGAAAAAAGUUUAUAUAAAGUUGCAACCUUAACAUGUAGAAUUAAAGAUGCACCUCAAAAAUCCAUCGAAAAAUGUUGUCUUAAUGUUGAAAAACCCUCCAAUUGAUUAUCUUGAAAACAUGAUGUAUGAAUAUUAUAAAAAACAAAAAAAGAUUUUGAGUCUCAUAAAUGUUGCAUCUUGGAACACAUUAUCUAGACCAUUUAUUUUUAGUGUUUUUAUAUAUUUAUAGAUCUACUUGAUUUUAACCAUUUAUAGAGUUUAAAAUUUUAUAAUUAGAUAUGAAAAUAAAUUGAUUUUAACCAUUUAUAGAGUUUAAAAUUGUAUUAUUAAAUAUGAAAAUAAAUUUUGAGAUGAUCCUAAAAACCUUUUACACCAAGUUUAUAUAUUAUGAUAAAAAUUUGGAGGUACGUCUUGAUUGGAAUCGGAUUGUUUAAAGUUUGGAACCUUAUAGAAACCAAACCCUUGAAACAGGCAAGAACCACUGACCACGGUGAAAUGGGAACUACAUAGUUAUUGUGACCCCACUAAUCUCUAUCUUAUGUGGCAAAAUAUCUGAUCUGUCUCUGUAAUUUGGCAGCUUCAUCUCUGAACAACAUUUGUCAAGGACCUCUCUCUCUAACAAGAAAGAGAAUGCUGCCAAUUAAUCAUUUGGGCUUUACGGGUUUCCCAUAAGCUACCGCUCAGCCAACUCAAAACCCUAGACAUAAGCUAUCCUCACCGUAGUUGUGUUUUCUAGGGUUAAUUCCUGCAAAAAACAGCUUGUGACCAAUUUAAAGCCAUGGUUUCUCCUUUCAAUGUUCCUUACUGACUCUAUGUUCUCUAGGGAUUCCAACCUGCAUGAUACAGCUCAAAAUCUGAGUUCCAAGCCAUUGAACCCUGUGUUGCUGAGAUUCCUAGGGUUUUGGGAAGAUCGCAUAGACCCCAUGUAUCUCUCAGAUAAGCAGAGGCAAAGGGAAUUCUACAAAGAUGAACCCAGAACCAUUAUAAUGGCUCCUGUAACAAAUGGUUUUAGGGCACCAACAAUGCAGCAACAGCAGCAACAACAGCAACAACAAAUGGUGCUUGCAGAGAGUAGUGGUGAAGACCACGAAGCAAAGGCCCAAAAGAAGAGGGCUGAGACAUGGGCCCAAGAUGAGAUUCUGGCUUUGAUCGCUCUGAGAAAAGAGAUGGAUGGGCACUUCAAUACCUCAAAGUCCAACAAGCAUCUGUGGGAGCAAAUCUCGUUGAAGAUGCGGGAGAAAGGGUUUGAUAGAUCCCCAAAUAUGUGCACCGAUAAGUGGAGGAAUUUAUUGAAAGAGUACAAGAAGGCCAAACACCAGGAUAGAGGGGGAGGGUCUGCUAAGGUUUCAUAUUACAAGGAAUUGGAUGAUUUGGUGAGAGAGAGGGACAAGAUUGUGACAUACAAGAGCCCUCAGGCAAAAGUGGAGUCAUACAUGCAGUAUUCUGAUAAAGGUAUGCUCUUGAUUUUACUGAAACUUGUUUUUUCUUAGGUAUGAAGUUUCUAAAAGGCCUAGGCUUUGUGAAAACCAAAUAAAUCAUCACUUUAAAUACUCGUGAAAGCACUUUGGGCAAUGGAAAUCUAUAUGAUGGUUCUAAAAUCAAUUUGCAACACCGACAGUAAAAUUUGAAACUCAAAAAAAUGUACGCCGAUCUUUGAACACUUAUUUUUAGGGCGACAUGGACAGUCUAGAUAAUUUGUUAAAAUAUACAUAUCUUUAGAGCUUCAAAUCCAAAUUGUUUUUCACAACCAUAAUGUUCAAGCCGAGAUGAUCGAUGUAAAGGUUUUCCUAUGCUUGAAUUACAAUUUUCGAUGAGUUAUUAGGUAAGGCUUUACUUAUAUGAUAGGGCUGCAGCCCUAUAAUGUUCAAGUCGAGAUGAUCGAUGUAAAGGUUUUCCUAUGCUUGAAUUACAAUUUUCGAUGAGUUAUUAGGUAAGGCUUUACUUAUAUGAUAGGGCUGCAGCCCUAUCAAAUCGCCCUAUCAAAUCGAUUUCCUUUUCUUAGUCUUUUUUUUUUAAAGAAAGAAAAGAAACGACAGAAAGAGUUGGACUUCUUUGCAUUCUAGCUGGACUUCUGUGCAUUUUCUUGUGGUGAGUGGUGCUUAAAUUAUUCAUUCCUGUUUAGCUAAGCUGUUUGAUAUGCUAAGAUUCACAAUUUGCUAUUACGUAUUGUUUCUCUUAAUGUCGUGUCUUUUGCAAUGUAAAUUUUAGUAUGUUGAGUAACCGGUAUCAUAUAGUGUUUCUCUAGUGUUGAUAUCUUUUGCUUCUAUUGUAUGAUUUGCUAAUUGAUCUUAUCUCACACCAGGGUUGAGAGUGUACUGAAAGAAUUAAUUGGGUUUAUGUAGAAAGCUUGUCGAUAUGUUAUGGCAUUGACAUCCAAUACUUUAAGUUUUUAGUAAAUACAAUAGUUGCGGUUGUAGAUGUAUUUUGGUGUAUUCUAGGUCUGCUAAUUUAGUUUAUGGAAAAUUUUCUCUAUUUAUGUGGCCUUUUUUUUCCUCUAUGGGGAGCAAAAGGGACAAAAGUUUUGGUGCAAUCAAUUUGGAAAAGAACAAUAACAUGCUAUGCUUGGGAAUAAACUCUAGCAGUCCAGAAUGAUAAAGUAAUCAUUGAUCGUUUUCAUUCUUUUUUUCUCUUGUUGUUUCUCCAUUUAAUUGCAUGCCCAGCUGAGUAGUAAAGCAAUCUAUUAUUGAUGAUUAAUGAAUUCCAAGAAACUUAAUUUGAAAAAGAACAGUUUCAAAAGAAAAGAAAAAAGCAACCACAGCCAAGGUCCAAAAGACCCUUCCUUGAGGCUCAUAAGCUCGUGCCAUAAUUUCUCUCAAUAUAAUGUUUAGUUACUUGAAUCAUCACAUCUGACGUGCUUCUCUUCUGACAACCACCACCACCUUGUUACUUGAUGUGUAGUUUCACCUUCUUAGGUUCUAAAAUGCUCAACUGGCACUCGCUUUAAGAAUCGCAACAUGGCAAACUUGCCAAAAUUCUCUCUGGCAAAUGCUUUUCAAAACCAAUUCUCAUCAUUGAAAAGCGGUCCGUCCAGUGCCUAGGAAACCGGGUAGGCGGGCCUGGAUGCAUAACCUAGGCCUUGGAGGACCAACAAGGCGAGUUGUCCUUGGGUGCCCACCUAGGGACCCUAGGCACCUGCCUAGGCGGGUGCCCAGGGGUGCACCCGCUUACGUGCAACAGUACCCAUUGGGUGGGGUAUUUUUGGUAUUUUUUUUUGUUUGGAUUAUAAACAAUGCAUGAAUAUGCAUUUUUGCUACAAAAUCUAGACCUAAAAUAGGAUUACUGGACACCUCUUGUCCCCUUUCGAACUAACCUGGGCGGCCGCCUAGGCGAUGGGCAGCCUAGACCACCCCGGCCGCCUAGGCGGCGCCCGACGAUUUUUGGAACACUGGUUCUCAUUGUUAGUGUGGGGUGAUGCUCAUAGCAUGUUGUCCCCUACAAUGCUUUCUUUUUCUGUUUUCUACAGUGGCUUUCCUCUCUUAAAUGCUUUCUUUUUCUGUUUUCUACAGUGGCUUUCCUCUCUUAAAUGCUUUCUUAUUCUGUUUUCUACAGUGGUUUUCCUCUCUUAGCUGAAUUGGAGAGCUCUAAAUAUUUAUUUUAAACUACUAUAAGGAUCUCUGAUAAUAUUCUUCUUAUCAAAUUUUCUUGUUAUUUGAAUGUUUUGUUCCACAACUUGCAUAACCGCCUAAACAGAGAGUCAUGAAAGGAGACCCAAAAAUAACAUAUUGUAAACCCGCAUUUUUCCAUUAUCGAUGCUGACUAUGCACAAAUUUUUCUUUCCUUCUUCCCAAAGCCCUGUAUCAGGAACCAUGUAGCAGCAACUUUGAUUUUUUUCUUUUUCUACAACCCCUGCUACUCUUAACAUCAUGCACUGGUGAGCUAGGUUUGACAUCAUCACUAGCUAUUUCCCAGCUAAAUAUACACAUCUGCAACAUCCGUAAAUAUGAUUGUUUUUAAUACCCUAGAACGAUAUCUCUCUUUGUUCUUUCUUUGUUUUACAUCCUCAUAUGAGGUUGAUAUGUGUGGUUUUCUUUAGACCUUCAAUAAGAUUUUGACAAUAUGGGUGAUUCUUAUUUGUAACUUGCUGACUAGGUAAUGCUUACAAUUACUUGUGUUUAUGCUUUUCAUAUGCAGGCCUUGAUGAUGGUGCCAUCCCCUUUGGACCUGUAGAAGGUAGUUGUUGUUGACAAUUCCCUUGAUGUGUUCAACUCUACUGUAAAAUAUUUGCUGCUACCCAGUUUGAAAAAAAAAAAAAUUUGUUUACUUAGUCAAUAGCAAUGUUUGAAGAAUAUUAUAAUUAUUUUAGUUACUUAUUAUUUCUGAGGAGGCUUUCAUUUUUUGUUUUAUCGAGAUUCAUUUUCCUCAUGGGUUAAUACUGUUUUAGGUAUAUGCUGGGAUGAGAACAGGGGAGGUAGGGAAAAAAUGGUAGUUGUUACGGAUGUUUCCUACUGCCAGAAAGCAGAGCAUAAUUUCUAUAUUGUUAAAUAUGGAUUCUUUUUGAAGAAAUUGAUAGUGAAACUAAAGAAAAAGGUGCUAUUUAGAAAGUGGCCUUUCCCUAGAAAGCAUUCCUUCACUCUGUUAUAUUGGACAAGAAUAGAAUAUUAAAUGCUUUUAUUUGAGAACUGAGACAAGAGAUAGCUUGUCUUUAGUCAAGCUUGAUUUGAACAUGUUCUCCAAGAGUUCUUUUGUUCGUAGAUCUCCCUUUCUCUCUCUCUCUCUCNNNNNNNNNNNNNNNNNNNNUUACGUUACGUUACGUUACGUUACGUACGUUACGUACGUUACGUUACUACGUUCUACUUACGUACUCUACUCUCUACUCUCUCUCUCUCUCUCUCUCUCUCUCUCUCUCUCUCUCUCUCUCUCUCUCUCUCUCUCUCUCUCUCUCUCUCUCUCUCUCUCUCUCUCUCUCUCUCUCUCUCUCUCAAUAACUGUUUUAUUGAUGUAAAGAACGUGUACAAAAUUCUAUUCUUCCAAAUAACUGGGUGCAUAUUGUGAUCUUUCAUUGUGUUUGAUCCUAUUCUUCAUGCUUCUUUGUUUUUGCCGUGCACCCUGAACAGCUUUGGCAUUAAAUUAUCAUGGGAAAGCUUUCUAUGUUCCCCCUACAACAUAGAAGUUCUAUCCUCCCCCUACCAUUCAGCCGUCCCUUUUUUAAUCAAGAGAGUCACUUACCGUUUGAUCUUAGAUCUGACGUCUCAAAGUAUUUUAUUUUUAUUUUUUUUAAUACAAAUUUUCUGAAUAUGAAAUUUGGUACGUGCCAUCUUCUCAUUGGGGCGCACCUAUAAAAAAUAUUAACAAUAAUUUUUCAAUAAGAUAUAAUGACCAAAAUACCCCUUGAAACUUUCAAAUGUAUUUUAGUCAUUUUAUUUUAUUGAAAAUAUUUUUUUUAAUAUUUUUCGGUAGUGCGAGUUUAAUAGAGGAAUGGACGUCCAAAAUUUGGUGUCAAAAUAGUUUAUAGAGAAAAAUUAAAAAUAAAAUAGUAUAGAGAUGUGACAUUGUGAUUGGGGCAAUCUUAGCCCUCCAUUAAAAAAUGGACGGUUGAAUAAGGAGGAGGAUAGAACUUCUAUGUUGUAGGGGAACAUAGAAAGCUUUCCCAAUUAUCAUUUGAUGUGUUUCAUAAAGAAUUAUUGUUCCUGUAGUGGCCAUACUUAUUGGUUGCAUUACCUCUUUCUAUGAUAAGAAUUAAUGGUCAUUUGUCUUUCCUUUGUUGUGGUUACUUGCAAAAUGUUUAAUUGGUGCCAUUUUCUUGGAUGAAUAUGACUGCUACAUCUUUUUUUCCUAUACACACUCCAAUAGGUCCUUUGCUUUUUGGGUAAGUAAUCAAUGUAUUUUAAAGGACUGAAAUAUGAGUCAUGGUCAUGAUUUAUUAUAAGAUGGUCCUAUAUAGAGGAAAAGGACAAAAUAUCAAGUUCCUCUGAGAGGUAUAUGUAUGUACUAUUUGUGGGAACUUGACAAUGACAUACCACAAGUAUACUAAGUUAACAAAAAAAUCUGCUUUCCAUAGUAUAGGCCUCUUUCGACGUCUUAGUACUCAUAGCAAAGAAAUGGUCCUUGUUACGUUUAUCAGCGGUCAUCGCCAUAUCAUCUAGGGCUAUUUUCUUUAUUUUCUGGAAUUCAGAGGUCUUUGGUUUGUCUUAGGGGUAUUAUGCGGUGUUUUGGCAUAUGCUGUGUUUCAAAAGAAAGGUUCCCCCACGAAUUAUGGCUGGCUAGGUUGGGACCGAAUCAUUCUUAAAUGGGUGUUGAAGAAAGCAUAGCUAUUCUUAAUACAACAUGCACGCAAACUGGGCUUUAAGGUUCUAUACUGUAGAAUUUUUAGCUAGAUCGUAGAACAACCAAUAGUUGUUGGAGGCAGGAGCUGGGUCAGUUUGGGGAAUGCCAAACUGCCAUUGGAUGAAAGCUCCUUGGGGUAAGGAUCAACGUUCGUGCAUUCAACAAGUUAAGGAACUAGAUCCUAGGAUACCUGGUAGCGAGAUCCCAUGUCAAUAGGAUCGAGGUUUUGACUUAGAGGGAUCUAAGCGCCACUAUGCAUGAAAAGAGAUCAAUUAAUAGUAAAUAAUAAAAUUAGAAUCUAUCCAAUCCUUGCUGGAUCCAUUAUCAUGCACCUUAGCUUUAUUACCAAUGCCAUAGUUAUAGUAUUCCAAUUUACUGUAAUAAUACAGUUUAAUAAUAUACUAUGAUAUUUCUUAAUACCAUAAUUUUAGUAUGCACAAUGUGAUAUGCACCACAGUUUAACAUAUUCUAAAGAAAUAAAUAUAUAAUAUCAAGAAGAGGAGCAAUAGUUUAAUUAAUAGUAUUGCUUCUCUCUUUGGACGGAUUCUACAAGCAUGUAGACCGAGAUCCUAUUUUAUAGGGUUGGGAGCUAGAUUUCUAUUUCUCUAAACCCAAUUUUCUCUAAGAUCCGUUAGAGGAACUGCAGGAUAAAGUUCCUAAUGUGGGGCCGUUGCUUACCCACAAGGUUCCUGCAACUACGGAACAACCAUACGCAUACUGAUUAAUCUCUUCUAGUAGAUAUGAAAAUAAAUAAAUAUUUUUGAGCCUCAUGGAGACCCAAUAAGAACCUGGAAGCGAAGUUCUUCUAAUUUUCUUUGACCUCUUUCAUUCUUUCUAGAAGCUUGCAUAACAAUAUUGUAAAAAAAUGGUAGAAUCUCUACUUAUCAAAGGGAAAAGACAAAAUGGAACUGUAUCUUUGGGUAUCUUUCUUUGUGAACCUUGCCAUUAACAUAAAAUUUUAAUAGGUUUCUUUUCCUGAAGCCCUAGGUUUCCUAUCAUAGAGGUGUCCUCUUCUCGGAAUAUUUAAUUGCAUACCCAAAGUAAGUUCUCAUUUUCCUUCUAGGUUUUGUCAUGGAAAACCUAAUUGAUGGCCAACUUCUAAAAGUAUAUUUUUAAAAUAUUUUGUCCCAAAAAUGAAAAUAAUAUAAAAUGUUACUUUAGGGGCCAUCCAUUUUAGCUUUACUUAUUUAAAACAUCAACAUUUCAAGUCUCUUUUAGUUCUGCUGAGGGCGGAGACUGAAAAGCCUUCCUAAGACGAAUUGAAAAAGGAAAAUGUUCCAAAAUCUUUCCAAAAGUACUUGUAGGGAUUGUUCUUUAUAUUUCCUAAUGUAUCCUUGCCCUUUUAGGAAUCUUUUACUGAAACGAACUCCUCAGGUUUUGCAAAAAGGACUAAAUUUGAUAAUUUAUCCGUACAUAUUUAUUUGGUUACAACUUUGAUAAACUUGUUCCUAAAUUUCUAACCCACUACUCUUUCUAAAAGUCCAUUGGCUGCUUCACUGACACUACACAUUCCGACACACUUGCAACUUAGUAACUGACGCAGGUAACAGGACCAUAGUUACAUGGAUCUUCCAUCUAUGGUGGUGCUUCCACUCUCAAAACAUGGUAUGGAAGUGAGAAUGCAUUUCCUUUCUCUUAGAAAUGUGCCCCUCCUUUCCUCGGUAACUCUUCCCACAUAUCUUGGCAAGGAAGAGCCCUCCUCUUCUUUGGCAGGCUCCAUGGUGGAACCUAUAAAAUGCGUCAUUGCCUCAUAUGGUAAUUUGGGAUGUAAAGAAUGGCUAAUUUUUGUAUUAGACCAAGUUGGGAAAAAAUUCAAGCAUCAAAAUACCUUAAGUAUUUUUUAGUUUAUUUUAUUUUUUUAAAUAUUUAUUUAUCUUUCAUAUAUAUUGUAUAUCACUCCCAUGGCACGCCCUAGCCAGGGAGCUUCUGGCAAGCAACGAUCCCAUACACUGCAUCCCACUUUUGAUCCUAGUAACCUGCUCUCAACAGAAAUGAAUUUGACUAUAAACAUAUGUAUGCACCUCACACUCUAGCAACUCAUUAUGAAACUAAAAUGGGUGGUUCCACUCAGCCUUUGGAUAAAAUACAAUGAAAUUUUCUACACCAUUUGGACAGUCCUGCUUUAAUCUCCACACUACCGUUGCCAGUAAAAUUGAAGGGUUCUCAUGGGAAUGAAUGAGAUGCUAAAAUUGCUUGAAAUCUUCUAAGAUCAUUAGAUAAAUUGGUUAAAAGGCAGAUAAAGUAGUGUGAUAGGGAUAGUUAUCAUGGAGGUCUGUAUUAUUAAUUUAUUAUUUAUUGCUGUUGGUAUUGUUAUUAUUAUUUAUAUUAUUAUAAAUAGUUGUUGUUGAUGUUGUUUUUGUUAUUAUUAUUAUUGUUGCUGUUGUUGCCAUUGUUGUUGUUAUUGAUAUAUAACUUUUAUCAAAGAAGUAAUGUGCAUUCAAAAUGGGAAGGUCCUUAAUUGCUGUAAAAUAUGAUUUCUUACGUUCUUGUUUCCUAAGGCUGCAUUUGAAAAGCUUCCGGAGUCCGUUCUGGGCUGUAAUGCUUGAGAUGUUGGUUGGCAGUCAAUGCUCGAUUUCAGAUGUUUGGAUGCACAGUUUCAUUCAUGCCAUAACACACAUUGAUGCUAAUAACUCGUGUUUCGCAUUAUAUUUGUGAAGGGGUUGGGACCCCUUUUUUCAACUGUCGAACAUGCAAGAAAGGGACUACAUGCAUAAGUCGUUACAUGUGCCAAACAAAUGCGGACCUGUCGACCUUGAGUUUGGUUCUCUAUUUUCAUAGUGUCACACGCUAGUGAAAAAUGUGUGCAAAAGCAUUAUUGAGCUCUGUGGUAUUCUCUCUACAUUACUGCAGCCUCCUCAUGACAUUCUUCCGGCAUCUUCAUUAUGAGGAGUUUGUGAUUACAUAAAGUGUUGUAGAGUCGUCUUUGACCCCAGUUUGGUUGUGUUAGCAAAACCUCUCCAAGUUAUAUCCCUUGAGAUAUCCGACAUUUCCAAUUUCUCCAGCCCUAAUGGCUGCUUAUUCUUUACUUCUAACUUGGGUUGAAUCCUUUCCUAUUGUAACUAACCUAUGAGUGUCACUCCCCAACCCCUUGAUCCUUCAUCGCUUGAUCCAGAAUUUGCCUCUUUGUUAUUGAGCAUCCUUGUUUUCCAUAUCCGACUAGGGCUAGACUCCAUGUCUCUUUCUACUCCCAAAUAUAUGGCAAUCAGAGUACCAAGUUAGGAUCAUAGUUAACAGAUAUUCCGCGGUCGCUUCCACUCUGGAAGAAUGAUACUGUGUUCCAAGACACAGGAUCUCAAUUCCAAGCAUUUCCUUGAUUUAGGGAUCUUGAUCAAGGAAAUUGAUGAACUAGAUCCUAGGUUGAUGUGAUCCAGAUCUCUAUUCCCAAAAUAUGGUUCUAUGAGUAAUUGGAAUCGUGAUUCCUCAAACUUGGAAUCAAGUAUCUUCUACUUUGGGAGUGAGUUUCACAUGCAUAGUUUCGGGUUCAUAUAAAAUGGGACGUGGAUCUCUAAUUUUUUAUGACCUACAAACUUUCUAAAGGCCAUGAUUUCCUAUAUAGUUUAUAAUUUACAACCUUACACCUUGUGAAUGGUGAGUAGUGUAGGAAAAUCGAACCAAAACGGUUAACCAGACAUGGAGCCAGAAGCGGUUGGCCUAACUGGGCUAGUCUCGGGUGGUCAAAAAAAAAUUAAAAAAUACAAAAAAAACUAAUGAAAUAUAAAAAAUAUAUUUAAAGCAUGAUUACACAAAACACAUAAAAAAAAAGUUGGAAAUUAAUGAAAAAAAUGGAUUUUAAAGAAUCGAUUUGUGCUUAGGGUAUUUUUGAAAUUUUCUAAAAAAGAUGGGAAAAUGUAAAACUAAGUAUUAAUGGGCAAAACAAUUUCCAAUGGCAAUCUUUGUCAAAAUGACAAAAAAACAUUAAAAAAUGCAUUACAAAUAAAAUCCCUUAUUUUUUGGGAUUUUAUAUAAUAUUUUUUUAUUUUUUAAAAAAAUACUCGGCCAAUUCACCAAAACCAGCCAAAACCAGAACCAGCCAGUGGCCAGUUUCGAUCUAACCGGGUGAUUAGAAUUUGAAACGCCCAAUUUUCCCUACACUGAUCGUGACUUGUGACUAGUUUCAAAGAAAAGCAACAAGAGAGGGCAAGGAGAGAGAAGGAAGAGAUAGAAAAGAUAAUUGAGUUGCGUUUUUAAUCUAGGAAUUGAGGUCACAAUCAAUAACCUUAUCCUCCCUGGGUUUGGUUCAUUGGGUCUUGUCCACCUCUAGAAGGACUUCUACUACAUGAGUGUUGGUCACCCAAAUUGAGCCACUCAUAGGGUUGCCUCAUAGGUGAUGAAAUAACAUAUAUGCUUGAAAAUGUGAGGUCUCUCUCGUUUAUAUCUUCUUGAGCCCCUAGCAAUCUUUGGUGGAGAAGAGCUAUUGAGAAAUAUAUAUGGCAAUUCCUUUUUAUGUAUUUUGGAGUAGUAGUAUUGCACUACCCUAAGUGUGUAGCGAGGAUCAAUACAACUUCUAUAGCCAAUAUGAUACAACAGAUCUUCCAAUACUAGUCAUAUUUAUCUUUUAUUUUGAUUGUCAUGGAACUGAUAUGCUCAUUAGAGCUCAUGCUCCAUUUCAUUAAAGACCCAAGGAUUCUAUAUACCUCAGGAAAAUAAAAAUUAGCAAUUGGAUAUUUAGUCCCUAAAAAUGUAUGUAUAACGUCAUAGAAAAGUUUCAGACAACUACAUUUCUUUUUUCGCUUCCUCAUUUAACAUCAGAUGUUACCAAGUUUGACAAUGAUUCACCUUGAGCAAAACGAUGGAAUGCGUCCUUUAAUUCAAGGCAACCUCUAGCAUUUUAUAUGUCAAGUUCCAUUGAGUUGAAACAUCAAGACAUGUUUUCUUACUUUCAAUUCUGAGUAGGUUAAUUGUCUCAUUAAAACUUCCUUGCCUAGCUUGUGAGGCCUUAGUACAUUUUAUCCUAAUUUGGAUUUUAUAAACCACAAUAUUUAUUAUUUGUAAACCAUCUUGCACAAUUAAGGUCCAAAAUGUGAGAGCAACAUCGCACAUGAUACAUCUUACCUUCAAAAGUAAGAUGAAUUCUGAAUAGUUGAGGGUUGAUGCAACGUCAUUAUUUAUUGCAUUGUCUAAAGUAAUAGUAAACAAUUUUUAAUCAACCUUCCAAUGCAUUAAGAGAUCCAAAACUUAUGGAGGGCAAAAUUAUUUUUAUUUUUAUUUUUUAUUCAAUUUCGAAGGAUGUAUAUUAUGUUUUAGUUUUAGGCUUUAUAUCCAAGGCUUUUUAGUUUUUUUAAGGAUUCUAAGGUUUAAGUUUUUAUUUACAUGUACUAUUAACAAUUAUUGUUGACGAGACUGCUCACAAGGGUAAAUUGUUGACGAGACUGCUCACAAGGGUAAAUUUAAGUUAAGUUAGGAUAUCUGGGUCAAUGUAUUAUUUGUUUGGAUACUUUUUGUACUUGAAACAUUAGAUUAUAAUAUAUGAGGUGUGUGGGGCCUUGAGGCGAUUAUUCCAUAAUCCGCAUGAUUUCUAGAAAUUGAAAAAGAAAGAAAAGCUUAGGCUUGUGCAACCCUAGCUCAGGUGUAGAGAAGAUUAUUGUGCUUGUGUUUGGCUUGUUCCUUGUUGAUUUUAUUGCUUCCUUAUAUUUUCUUGCAUCAAAAACCAAUUAUAGCAGCAUCAUCUCUUGUAUGAGGAGAUGAUAUAUAUACAAAACUAAGUAUUCAAUUUUGGAAGUGCCUUGCUUCAUCAAUAUAACGUGCAGCUAAGCACAAAUGCCGUUGAUUACAACAUGAUGACCAUAUUCAAUGGUGAGGCUCCCACGGCUCAAAAUUUCGAGCUUGGAAUUUUCUGUAACUCCCCUUGUGUUAUCUUUUGCAUGUUGUAAAUUUCGAUAAUAUCUGAUUUUAUUGUACCACGGGAAACUAUCUUAAAUAAUAGUUGAAGGUUACUUGCAGAAGUUCUAGAGCAUUUGUGUUCCACAUUCGAGAAAGGGUACUCAUAUAAGAUGAUCAUUUUUGCAAGAUCAUUCCUACUCUCUCGAACAAAUUGAAAAUUCACUAAACCCCCUUCCCCUUUCUUCAAUGAUGCUACUAAUAGAUUUUGGCCCGAAGCGACAUGUACUUGCUUUACACAUCUUUCUAAAUCAUCAUUAUCACUAGAGCCUUUGCUCACUAAUUUGGGGUCGACUAUACGAACCUUGGUCUCCCAUUCUGCUCUAUCAAGAACUAUACUCUUAGUGAGGCCAUAGGUCCCCAUAUCUCUUCGCAUUACUUCCAACUAUAUUCUUUUGGGCCCAUCCCUUACCCUUUUUGAGCCUUCCACUUGAAUCAACUCACAUCUCGUAACAGGCAUUGUACUGGGUCUACGUUGCACAUGGCCGGCCUACCUAAGUUUACUCUCUCAUCUUAUCACCUAUUGGAGCUACACUUAAGUUCUCCCUAUUGUAUUUAUUUUAAAUUCAAUCCUUUCUUGUCUUGCCUUAUCCAUCUCAAUAUCCUCAUUUCAGCUACACUCAUCUUAUGGGUAUGUUGUUUCUUGACCGCCCAACAUUCCGCCCCAUAAAACAAAGUUGGUCACGCAACUAUCCUAUAGAACUUCCCCUCCAGCCUCAUUGGUAUGCGGCGAUCACAUAAAACUUGGUUGCACAUCUCUACUUCCCCCCACCUAGCUCUAAUUCUAUGUGUGAUAUCUUCCUCAAUCUCUGUAUUUUCCUAGAUUAUCGACCCCAGAUAAUGAAAGUGCACAAUUUUUGGUACUUUUUGGCCGUCAGUCUUAACUAUUUCCUCAUCUUUGCUCCUAUUAUUACUAAACUUAAAUUCCAUAUACUCUAUCUUAGUUCGGCUAAUUUUAAAACCUUUAGAUUCUAGAGCAUCUUGCCAAAGUUCUAACUUUGUGUUGGGGCCGCUUUGUCUUAUCGAUCAAAAUUAUGUUGUCUGCAAACAACAUACACCACACCACUGUACCUCAUCUUGUUGGUGCCUAGUUAAGUUGACCAUAACGAAGACAGAGGUAUGGGCUCAUUGCUGAUCCCUAAUUUAUACCUAUUGCCAUUGAAAAUUCAUUUGUCUCUCUACUAGUUAUCCAUACACUAGUUAGUGCUCCCUCAUACAUAUCUCUCACCAAGUCGAUAUAGUAUCUACCUAUCUUGAGACUCCUUUCUUUUCCAACACCCACCCAAUUGAUUCUUGAGGCAUUCUAUUAUAUGCUUUCUCUAGAUCAAUAAAGACCAUGUGGAGGUCUUUCCUUUCGCCUUAAACUUCUCAAUAAGUUGCCUAAGGAAGAAAAUAGCCUCAAUUAUUGGCCUCCUUGACAUAAAACCAAAUUGGUUUUUUGAUACACUCAUUUCAUGCUUUAAUCGUUGCUCAAUCACUCUCUGUUAUAGCUUUAUAGUGUGGCUCAUAAUUUUGAUCCCUCGAUAGUUCACACAAUUCUUUAUGUCUCCUUUGUUCUCUUGUAAAUAGGUACCACAAUGCUUUUCCUCCAUUCGUCUUGCAUUUUUUUUAUCCUCAACACAUCUUUCUAAAUGUUUCUUCAAAUGACUCGUCCCUUCUACACUAGAUCCUUAAUUGCUUAGUACAAUGCCUACAACUUGCUGUCAUGCUACCAUCUUCAUUUUUAAUCUUAUUAAAUUCAUCUCAAAUCGACAAAGUGGCUUUUUGUUUGGAGGACAGCGAAUGAUUUCUCCACACUAGUACUUUGAUCAUGCAAAAGAAUUCCAAAUUUGAUAUGUUAAGAGAGUUUUCAAUAGAGCAGAUAAAAUAUUUUCCUUAGAUAAAAGAAUCCCUAUACAUGAAUUUGUAGUCUAAUUUGUCGAGAUGUUAAUGCGUCAAGCAAUUGCUAGUAGUGGAUGUAUCCAGUCAUGAUAAAACCAGAGAAUCAUAGUUACUAAUAGCAACACCAGUAUCAUAUACAUAUGGAAACAAAUUUAAUCUAUAAACUAGAUAUUCAUGGUCAUUAACAGUAACACCAGUAUCAUAUACAUAUGGAAACCAAUGUAAUAAAGAAACUUUGUAAUGGCGGCACCCAAUAACAUCUAGGGUUUACAAAAAAUAAAAUAAAAUAAAAAUGGAGAAAAAUGAUAUUAGGAGAGAGGGAUUCGCUAUGGUUAAGGGCUUCCAACUUGUAGUCAUGGAGCUGCAGGAUGCACCUUAUCACUUGAGUCACCUUGGAAUAAACAGGACACUUAGUAGAAAGAAAGGGGAGAUCGAGAGAGUUCACCUUAGCACUUGAGUCACCUCUUUUGAUGUCCUGAGGGCUUCCAACUUGUAGUCACUGAGCUGCAGGAUGCACUUGGCGAGCAGGGAAGCCUCUUACUGGUUAGAGGUCUGCCAGGGUUCCUGGUUUCUUUCUGUCUUAGAGAGACAGAGGCAUUUGAAGCUUGAUGGGUUAAGGUAAAAUUUUCAGAUGUUAUAAUCAAGUUAUAAAAGGUUAGAUUUCUAAAUUUAAUUCAAUUAAGUCAUUUUAUUUCAUCUUGAAAUUGAUUGAUAUAUUAAAUUUAAUUAGCUAAUUUAGGGGGAGGUUUUUUAAUUUUUUUGGGACAAUUAAGUUACAUUAGUUUAUUAAUUUUUAUAAAAUUUUUAUAAAAUUUUUUCUUUAAUAUGUUAACUCUAUCAAGCUAAAAGUAAGUACAAGGGGAGAAUUUUAAGGGGGCCUGGAUACCCACAUACAGGUUCCACCCAAAAAAUUGACUACCCACAGACAGGUGCCCCAUACAAAAUGCACAGAUAGGCCAAAAAAAUGCUUUACAUAUCUGAUUUGAAACCAUAAAAGAGAUCAAAGCCAUACUGAGAUAGGCAGACCAAGCAAACACAGUUCCCUAUGAGUUAAUUAGAUUGGCUGGAGAUAAGAUAGUGGCUGCCUUAACUAAGGAAUUCGUGUCACCAUUUGCUUCUCCAAAUGUGUCUCCACAUAAUUUAUGGGGUCCUACUGUGAUGGCAAAUUUCCUCAAAAUAUGCUGUCGAGCCUCCAAGGCCAAGGGGCUGAGCUUGAGGCCCAGGAUAUCACUCAGAAAGAAUCACCUUCAAUGGUUGGAGACUGACCCCAAGCGAGGUUGAAUUUUCUGAGUACACUGUGCUGUACACUGUCCUAUAUAAUGUAUUAUAUAGUCGAAGCCCAAAAUGCCAAAUACUUAUAAUAUAGCAUCCAAACUCCACAGACCAAAUAGUCAUGAUACACUUAUCCAAGUUUUAUCAAAUCUUCCGAUUAAACACAAAAUUUUUAAUUAAAUUCACCUUGGAACCAUGAAAAAGUUGGUUCUACGCAGGCCCCAACCCCAACCCCCCCCUUCUUUCAGGGGGAAAAGACAAAAUGCCCCUCUUGUGGGUAUUUGUAUGCCCACUUAUGUGGGCACAUAAUUACUGACGAUGCACCACAUCUAUGCAGUGUGCUCAAGGGCAUAACCAUUUUGAUGCUGCUGUCUCAACAACUUGGUUGACCCUUGCACCCCCUAAGGUGCAAGCAUUGAAGUAGUUGGUCGUCUCAAAGAAAGCCCUAACUUAGGCCACUUUCAGAGAAGAUGAAUCCUCCUCUCCAAUAGAUUCCCAAUGUGCAAAUAGCAAAAAGAAAAACAUCAACCACUCUUCAUCCAUUGAGAGAGAACCACACAACUAGGGUCUUUCAUCCUUAGGAAUAUCACCUGGAAUUGGGUCACCUUGGAAUCCAUCUACCAACUUCUCUCUUCCGAUUUCUCUCCCCCAUUUCGUGCCUUGGGCCCAUUGCUGUGGUGUGCAACAAUACUUGCACACCUGUGGACUAUUUGGCUGGAAAGAAACAGGAGAGUUGUGGUGAGGAGCCACACAAAUUCCAAAUAAGAGUGCCUUACAUCCACCAGUAAAUUUUGGGUGCAGGCGAGGUAAGAAUUCUGCUUGUUCCCCUUGGCCUUCCUUGCACAUCAGUGGGAACACACUCUUCAGUCAGCCACACAAACCUGCAUGCAAUCAUCAAAAUGGCACACCCCUGCCCCCCCCCACCCCCAAAAAAAAAAAAACAAAAAACCAAAAAAAAAAGAUCCAAAUGUCAUCAAAAUUAACUUUUGAUGGCAGCUCCUUCAACAACUCAAGGCCACCAACCAUAGGUGGUAUUUUCAGGAGCCACCUAGGGAAGCACUCUCAACCUGCUUAGGUAUGGCUUGAGUCAUGGAUUCUACCUUUGCCGAAGCCUCUCCUUGUUAAUGAGGCUCAAAGUGUUUGAUAGAAGUUGGGGCCUGCACUCCUCAUUGAAGGAGACUCCAAAAUGUUAUAAAUUAGGUCAACAGAACUAGCCCCCAACCCUGUAUAUUGAAUCACAUUUUUGUACCAGAUUUUCAAUAUAUGCAACUCCUUAACAUGUCAACUUAACUCAGGAGAGAAUCCAAUGCCCAAGCCAACUCCUUGGCCAAAGAAGGGGUCAGCAGAACCAAACCAUUCAUUCAUGAAAUGGCCUCCUGAGGUGGAAUGCUGGUGGCAAUUUUGUACAAACCCCACUCCCAUACCAUAACCUAACAAUUAGGUACUUUUGAGAGCUUCAAAAGUUCUCCCUCUUUGCCCAAUUAUGAACGCAAACAGUUAAUUCACCAAAAUAAUAGACAUCAAGAAUUCAUGAAAAAUUGGAAUCAGAUGAACCCAUACUUCAUAUUUUCAACAGUAUAACAAUUUUUGAAGUAUUCUUGGCAUUUUUUGAAGUAUUCUUGGCAUGCUCUAUCUUAGAAUAACUGUCUGUUU
rnacentral:lncRNA from 1 species